GAGAGCCAAAAGCAUUGCUUUAUGUGGGUAUGGGUCUAACACUUCCUCAUCAUUCGCUUCUACUGCCUCGCUCGCUUUCUCUUCGUAAAAUUCAAAACCAAACAAGAAAACCCACAUCCAGUUUUCCUGCAUUUCGAUGUUCCUCCAAUCCCAAUUUCAAAACCACCCUCUAAACCUGCAAGAAUUGCAAAACCCAGUUCGACCCCUCUCUUAAUCACCCUCGGGCUUGUCGCUUCCACACCGCUCAUUUUGGAGGAGAAACAAAGAGGAAGUUUGAGAGCGUAUACACUGGAGGCACUAUGGAUUCUCCCGACUCUGGCCAGGUUUUCCAAUAUUGGCAUUGUUGUGGGUCUGAAGAUCCCUUUGACCCAGGAUGUACUGCCGCUCCUCACUCCUCCUAUGAUGACUGAUAUAUUUGGUCGUCUUCCCAGGGGAUGCAUUUUUGGCUCUGCACCUGAGAUAACAGAUGGUUCCCAAGAUAAAAUUUGUUUCUAGAUGUAUGUAUAUUACUCUUUCCUAUUUAACAUAUACAAGCAGUUGUAUCAAAUUGGGUUAUGAAACUUGAGUUUUAUACAUGUAAAGCCUACAUUUAGGCUCAAUUUGACACUGUUGCCUCACUUAUUUGCUACCUUAAUUCUGACAUCGUGAGAAACAUAUGUAGUUGCAUGCAUUGUGAUAUGAUAUAGCGCAUGUUUAUUUACCUUUCCGUUGUUUUUUUCUGUGUAUAGCUGUUGGUUUUAUAUCCUAGUUUCUUUGAUUUGCUUUCUUUACCAUAUGGGGUUGGGGGAACAAAAACAAAAACAAAAACAUUACCAACACUCUGACAAUAAUUGAAAUCUGAAAUGAGCAUAAAAGAAAAAGGGAAAACAAUUGAAAGCGAUUGUUUUCCCUUCAAUCAUCCUGUUUACGGCCUCCUAGAAUCCCUUCUAAACUUUUUGAAGAGUUAUCCCUGGAAUCAAGAGAGAUUAAAGCUCUUGUUUGGUUGCUGAGUAUGUGGAAGCUUGAGGAUGGAGGAAUGUGUAAUGGGGAUCAGCUGCUCAAGCUGUUGUUCAGGUAUCUAUUCAAAAGAGGAUCCUAGUGGCUGGGAAACUUGGAAUGAUCUAAUGCUUCUUCAUUCCAGAUUUGGGAAGAAUAUACAAAAUUUAUGUUGGUCCGCUCGUGAGUCAAAUCGAUUAUUUGACCUGGUUGCCAAAACCUCCUUGCCAACCAAUUCCUCUUUUGCUUUUGAUGAAUCAUCUGUUGGGCUCUGCCCUUUGCUUUUGUAAACCUGCUGCUGCAGGAUGAAUUGUAUCAAUCUUUUAAUU